rnacentral:rRNA from 1 species
UACGUAGGGUGCGAGCGUUGUCCGGAUUUAUUGGGCGUAAAGAGCUCGUAGGCGGUUUGUCGCGUCGGCCGUGAAAUCUCCACGCUUAACGUGGAGCGUGCGGUCGAUACGGGCAGACUUGGAGUUCGGUAGGGGAGACUGGAAUUCCUGGUGUAGCGGUGAAAUGCGCAGAUAUCGGCAGGAACGACCGAUGGCGAAGGCAGGUCUCUGGGCAUUAACUGACGCUGAGACG